rnacentral:sRNA from 1 species
GCCAGGUGCAGUGGUGCACGCCUGUAAUCCCAGUGGCUCAGGAGGCUGAGGCAGGAGGAUCUCAAGUUCAAAACCAGCCUCAGCAACUUAGCAAGGCCCUAAGCAACUCAGCAAGACCCUGUCUCUA